rnacentral:rRNA from 1 species
CAAUAGCGUAUAUUAAAGUUGUUGCGGUUAAAAAGCUCGUAGUUGGAUUUCUGCCGAGGACGACCGGUCCGCCCUCUGGGUGAGCAUCUGGGACGGCCUGGGCAUCCUCUUGGGGAACGUAGCUGCACUUGACUGUGUGGUGCGGUAUCCAGGACUUUUACUUUGAGGAAAUUAGAGUGUUCACGGCAAGCUUUCGCUUUGAAUACAUUAGCAUGGAAUAAUAAUAUAGGGCGUAAGUUCUAUUUUGUUGGUUUCUAGAACAUACGCAAUGAUUAAUAGGGAUAAUUGGGGGCACUCGUAUUAACACGUCAGAGGUGGAAUUCUUAGAUUGUGUUACGACGAACUACUGCGAAAGCAUUUGCCAAGGAUGUUUUCAUUGAUCAAGAACGAAAGUAUGGGAUCGAAGAUGAUCAGAUACCGU